UCUACAGCUGCCCAAAUGGGAAUGCUUACAAGACACUAAGAAGAACGACAUCCUUCUGAAAUUGGACAUACACGCCAAGCUGUGCUGGAAUCAUGUGCGUGUUUGCAGGCUUCUACAAACAUAUCAGCUCUGGGGGACGAGUAACUCUGCAGCAGAAUCCACAACCGCUGCACAGCUGACAGUGAAAUACUUCAAAAACAGCAUUGCACGUGAACCCAUGGCACAACAAAGGUAAAAUGCAAAUGCACAAC